AGAGUUUGAUCCUGGCUCAGGACGAACGCUGGCGGCGUGCCUAACACAUGCAAGUCGAACGGAACUGUUUUGAAAGAUUUCUUCGGAAUGAAUUUGAUUUAGUUUAGUGGCGGACGGGUGAGUAACGCGUGAGUAACCUGCCUUCAAGAGGGGGAUAACAUUCUGAAAAGAAUGCUAAUACCGCAUGAUAUAUCGGAACCACAUGGUUCUGAUAUCAAAGAUUUUAUCGCUUGAAGAUGGACUCGCGUCCGAUUAGUUAGUUGGUGAGGUAACGGCUCACCAAGACCGCGAUCGGUAGCCGGACUGAGAGGUUGAACGGCCACAUUGGGACUGAGACACGGCCCAGACUCCUACGGGAGGCAGCAGUGGGGAAUAUUGCACAAUGGGGGAAACCCUGAUGCAGCGACGCCGCGUGGAGGAAGAAGGUCUUCGGAUUGUAAACUCCUGUUGUUGAGGAAGAUAAUGACGGUACUCAACAAGGAAGUGACGGCUAACUACGUGCCAGCAGCCGCGGUAAAACGUAGGUCACAAGCGUUGUCCGGAAUUACUGGGUGUAAAGGGAGCGCAGGCGGGAAGACAAGUUGGAAGUGAAAUCUAUGGGCUCAACCCAUAAACUGCUUUCAAAACUGUUUUUCUUGAGUAGUGCAGAGGUAGGCGGAAUUCCCGGUGUAGCGGUGGAAUGCGUAGAUAUCGGGAGGAACACCAGUGGCGAAGGCGGCCUACUGGGCACCAACUGACGCUGAGGCUCGAAAGUGUGGGUAGCAAACAGGAUUAGAUACCCUGGUAGUCCACACCGUAAACGAUGAUUACUAGGUGUUGGAGGAUUGACCCCUUCAGUGCCGCAGUUAACACAAUAAGUAAUCCACCUGGGGAGUACGACCGCAAGGUUGAAACUCAAAGGAAUUGACGGGGGCCCGCACAAGCAGUGGAGUAUGUGGUUUAAUUCGACGCAACGCGAAGAACCUUACCAGGGCUUGACAUACAGAUGAAUAUACUAGAGAUAGUAUAGCUCUUCGGAGCAUCUGUACAGGUGGUGCAUGGUUGUCGUCAGCUCGUGUCGUGAGAUGUUAGGUUAAGUCCUGCAACGAGCGCAACCCCUGUGAUUAGUUGCCAACAGGUAAAGCUGGGAACUCUAAUCAGACUGCCGGUGAUAAAUCGGAGGAAGGUGGGGAUGACGUCAAAUCAUCAUGCCCUUUAUGUCCUGGGCUACACACGUACUACAAUGGCUGUAACAGAGAGAAGCAAAACAGUGAUGUUGAGCAAAACUUUAAAAAGCAGUCUCAGUUCGGAUUGAAGGCUGAAAUUCGCCUUCAUGAAGCCGGAAUUGCUAGUAAUGGCAGGUCAGCAUACUGCCGUGAAUACGUUCCCGGGCCUUGUACACACCGCCCGUCACACCAUGAGAGUUGGGGAUACCCGAAGCCUGUGAGCCAACUAUUUACUUAGAGGCAGCAGUCGAAGGUAGAAUCAAUGAUUGGGGUGAAGUCGUAACAAGGUAGCCGUAUCAGAAGGUGCGGCUG
rnacentral:rRNA from 1 species